GUUAGGCACCCCCCUUGGCACACCUAUGGCAUCAAUAUACACAUGGGGGUCGAAGCUCCCUCGGAUAGGAGCCUCUCGUUUGGUUCUAGAGUGUGUAUGUGUGAAAUUUAACGUGUUAUGACUACCAUCUGGAAUAAUGUGGAUAGGCAUUAUGACUUUGGUUAGGGCACACUCCCCCCACCAUUGCCCAGUUAAUUGGGACCUCAAUUGUUUGUCACCACAUAACCAAUAGAUAUCCCCAAUUGUCUUUGUGUGGUUCAUUAGUAGUGAUGCAGGUGGAUUAUGGUAAGUUGAGCAGUAUCCUGAUGGGAAUUUGCCCAGAUAUAACCCAGUGUUCUUAGGUAUUGAAUAGCAUGUGUAAUUACCUGGGUAGAUGGUGACUCCAUCAGGUGGUUUCACAUGUCCAUGAGUGAUUG
rnacentral:lncRNA from 1 species